UUUUAGCGAUUAUAACUAGGUCAGUCUUCUACAUUUAGAAACAGUCACAUAAGACUACCGGUAAAGUAAAAGCCUUUCGCAUUAUAUGUUAUAUCAUAACAAACUAGAUUUUACAAAAAAAACUUGUUUUUAACAUAAGUGCCAUUAAACCUUUCUCUUUUGUUCCAUCGCACUUUAGCGUACUAUACCAUCGCACUUUAGCAAAC
rnacentral:lncRNA from 1 species